CACCUUUCCCAUGAUGCUUAGCUAGCUUUUAGAGUUUACUACUGAUGCGUAGACCACCUAAUCAUGAAUACUGAGCCACAAUUCACAGAAUGAGACCUACAAUGCACAGAUAUCACAACAUAGGGGGAAAGGGUGAAAUAUUUUUUUUUUUUUUUUGUAUAGGUAUGACGAGUGCUUAGUGCUAGUGAAAACCAACCCAUUAGCAAAGAGCCUAAUGAAAUGUAGAAAACGUUUAUGAAUGGCUGUGUGGUGGGUGUAUAUAGCUGGAAUCUGCAACAAAACUGCAUGUCUUUUCUACCUUUUUACCCAAGCUAGGGAAGAUCUAGUGC